ACUCCUACGGGAGGCAGCAUUGGGGAAUAUUGGACAAUGGGGGAAACCCUGAUCCAGCCAUGCCGCGUGUGUGAAGAAGGCCUUCGGGUUGUAAAGCACUUUCAGUGGGGAGGAAAGGUUGAUGGUUAAUACCUAUCAGCUGUGACGUUACCCACAGAAGAAGCACCGGCUAACUCCGUGCCAGCAGCCGCGGUAAUACGGAGGGUGCAAGCGUUAUCCGGAAUCAUUGGGUUUAAAGGGUCCGUAGGCGGUCUUAUAAGUCAGUGGUGAAAUCUUCCAGCUCAACUGGGAAACUGCCAUUGAUACUGUAGGACUUGAAUAUUUGUGAAGUAACUAGAAUAUGUAGUGUAGCGGUGAAAUGCUUAGAUAUUACAUGGAAUACCAAUUGCGAAGGCAGGUUACUAACAGAUUAUUGACGCUGAUGGACGAAAGCGUGGGUAGCGAACAGGAUUAGAUACCCUGGUAGGAUAGCGU
rnacentral:rRNA from 1 species